rnacentral:rRNA from 1 species
CCUACGGGUGUCAGCAGUGAGGAAUAUUGGUCAAUGGGCUCGAGCCUGAACCAGCCAAGUCGCGUGAGGGAAGACGGUCCUAUGGAUUGUAAACCUCUUUUGUCGGGGAGCAAAAGACGCCACGCGUGGCGUUCCGAGAGUACCCGAAGAAAACGCAUCGGCUAACUCCGUGCCAGCAGCCGCGGUACUACGGAGGAUGCGAUCGUUAUCCGAAUUUUUUGGGUUUAAAGGGUGCGCAGGCGGUCUGUAAAGUAAGCGGUAAACGCCCGGGGCUCAACCCCGGCCCGCCGUUGAAACUGGCAGUCGCGAGUUGGAGAGAAGUAUGCGGAAUGCGCGGUGUAGCGGUGAAAUGCAUAGAUAUCGCGCAGAACUCCGAUUGCGAAGGCAGCAUGCCGGCUCCACACUGACGCUGAGGCACGAAAGCGUGGGUAUCGAACAGGAUUAGAUACCCCAGUAGUC